rnacentral:rRNA from 1 species
GACGAACGCUGGCGGCGUGCUUAACACAUGCAAGUCGAACGGAAAGGCCCUGCUUUUGUGGGGUGCUCGAGUGGCGAACGGGUGAGUAACACGCGAGUAACCUGCCCUUGACUUUGGGAUAUCUUCAGGAAACUGGGGCUAAUACAGGAUAGGAGCUCCUGAUCCAUGGUGGGGGAUGGUAAGUUUCGGCGGUGGUGGAUGGAUUAGAGGCUUAUCAGCUUGUUGGUCGGGUAGUGGCUUACCAAGGCUUUGACGGGUAGCCGGCCUGAGAGGGUGACCGGCCACAUGGCGCCUGCGGGACGCCCCAGACUCGUACGGGAGGCAGAAGGGGGGAAUAUGGCACAAUGGCCGGAAGCCUGAUACAACGACGCCGCGUGCGUGAUGACGGCCUUCGGGUUGUAAACAGCUUUCUCCUGUAACAAAGCGUGAGUGACGGUAAUGGGUAAAGAAGCACCGGCUAACUACGUG